rnacentral:rRNA from 1 species
GCUUAGAAGCAGCCACUCAUUAAAAGAGUGCGUAAUAGCUCACUGGUCGAGUGACUCUGCGCGGAAAAUAUAACGGGGCUAAGCAUGAAACCGAAGCUUGGGCUUGUACUUAGGUACAGGGGUAGGGGAGCGUCGAGUAUGGGGUGAAGUCAGAGCGGAAGCACUGGUGGACUGUACUGGAGUGAGAAUGCCGGAAUGAGUAGCGAGAAUUAUGUGGGAAUCAUAAUGGCCGAAAAUCUAAGGUUUCUUGGGGAAGGUUCGUCCGCCCAAGGUAAGUCGGGAGCUAAGCUCAGGCCGAGAGGCGUAGGCGAUGCACAUACGGUAGAAAUUCCGUAACCACCGAAACUUAAACAGAGGGACACUUCGAAAUAGCGGAACCCGGGCGUUGGUUGACCCGGGCGAAAGGGAGCGAAAUUAGAGUAGCGAAGUCCGCGAUGUUCGGAGGCGAGAAAAGCUCUGAGGUAUGCUAAGGUGCCCGUACCGCAAACCGACACAGGUAGAUGAGGAGAGAAUCCUAAGGCCAACGGGAGAAGGGUUGUUAAGGAACUCGGCAAAUUGACCCCGUAACUUCGGGAGAAGGGGUGCUCCAGAGAUGGAGCCGCAGAGAAUCGGCCCAAGCAACUGUUUACCAAAAACACAGGUUUGUGCUAAAUCGAAAGAUGACGUAUACGAGCUGACGCCUGCCCGGUGCUGGAAGGUUAAGAGGAGAUGUGCAAGCAUUGAAUCGAAGCCCCAGUGAACGGCGGCCGUAACUAUAACGGUCCUAAGGUAGCGAAAUUCCUUGUCAGGUAAGUUCUGACCCGCACGAAUGGCGUAACGAUUUGGGCGCUGUCUCGGCGAGAGGCUCGGCGAAAUUGGAUUAUCCGUGAAGAUACGGAUUACGUGUACCAGGACAGAAAGACCCUAUUGAGCUUUACUGUAGCUUGAAAUUGAAUUCGGGUUCUCAUUGCGCAGUAUAGGUGGGAGACUAAGAAGCUUGAACUUUGGUUUAAGUGGAGUCAUCGUUGAGAUACCACUCUGUGAAAAUUUGGAUUCUAACCUUGAUCCCUCAAAGAACAGGGCAAGGGACAGUUUCUGGUAGGCAGUUUGACUGGGGCGGUCGCCUCCUAAAAAGUAACGGAGGCGUUCAAAGGUUCCCUCAGGUUGGUCGGAAAUCAACCGUUGAGUGCAAUAGCAAAAGGGAGCUUGACUGUGAGACCUACAAGUCGAGCAGGUACGAAAGUAGGAUAUAGUGAUCCGGUGGUUCUGCAUGGAAGGGCCAUCGCUCAUCGGAUAAAAGUUACCAUAGGGAUAACAGGCUUAUCUCCCCCAAGAGUCCACAUCGACGGGGAGGUUUGGCACCUCGAUGUCGGCUCGUCGCAUCCUGGGGCUGAAGCAGGUCCCAAGGGUUUGGCUGUUCGCCAAUUAAAGCGGCACGCGAGCUGGGUUCAGAACGUCGUGAGACAGUUCGGUCCCUAUC